AGUGUCCAGGGAUGGGAAUCGAACCCACAGUGUUCCGCUUACCGGGCAGAUGCCAUGUCCACUAGGCUGGACAC